rfam:Ictidomys tridecemlineatus contig020114, whole genome shotgun sequence.
GGGGAUAUAGCUCAGUUGGUAGAGUGCUUGGCUUGUGUGUACAAGGCACUGGGUUCCAUCCCCAUACCACCA